GCUCGUGUCUAUGUUAUACUUCUC
rnacentral:siRNA from 1 species